CUACGGGGGGCUGCAGUGAGGAAUAUUGCACAAUGGGGGGAACCCUGAUGCAGCAACGCCGCGUGGAGGAUGACGCAUUUCGGUGCGUAAACUCCUUUUAUAUGUCAAGAAAAUGACGGUAGCAUAUGAAUAAGCACCGGCUAACUCCGUGCCAGCAGCCGCGGUAAUACGGAGGGUGCAAGCGUUACUCGGAAUCACUGGGCGUAAAGGACGCGUAGGCGGGUUGGAAAGUCAGAUGUGAAAUCCUACAGCUUAACUGUAGAACUGCACUUGAAACUUCUAAUCUAGAGUAUGGGAGGGGGAGAUGGAAUUAGUGGUGUAGGGGUAAAAUCCGUAGAUAUCACUAGGAAUACCUAAAGCGAAGGCGAUCUCCUGGAACAUUACUGACGCUAAGGCGUGAAAGCGUGGGGAGCAAACAGGAUUAGAUACCCCGGUAGUC
rnacentral:rRNA from 1 species